UACACUCCUGCGGGAGGCAGCAGUGGGGAAUAUUGGACAAUGGGGGCAACCCUGAUCCAGCCAUGCCGCGUGAGUGAUGAAGGCCCUAGGGUUGUAAAGCUCUUUUGUGCGGGAAGAUAAUGACGGUACCGCAAGAAUAAGCCCCGGCUAACUUCGUGCCAGCAGCCGCGGUAAUACGAAGGGGGCUAGCGUUGCUCGGAAUCACUGGGCGUAAAGGGUGCGUAGGCGGGUCUUUAAGUCAGGGGUGAAAUCCUGGAGCUCAACUCCAGAACUGCCUUUGAUACUGAGGAUCUUGAGUCCGGAAGAGGUGAGUGGAACUGCGAGUGUAGAGGUGAAAUUCGUAGAUAUUCGCAAGAACACCAGUGGCGAAGGCGGCUCACUGGUCCGGUACUGACGCUGAGGCACGAAAGCGUGGGGAGCAAACAGGAUUAGAUACCCCAGUAGUCCCAUG
rnacentral:rRNA from 1 species